AGUGAACGCUGGCGGUAGGCCUAACGCAUGCAAGUCGAACGGCAGCACAGUAAGAGCUUGCUCUUACGGGUGGCGAGUGGCGGACGGGUGAGGAAUACAUCGGAAUCUACUUUUUCGGGGGGGAUAACGUAGGGAAACUUACGCUAAUACCGCAUACGACCUACGGGGGAAAGCAUUGGAUCUUCUGACCUUGCGCGAUUGAAUGAGCCGAUGUCGGAUUAGCUAGUUGGCGGGGUAAAGGCCCACCAAGGCGACGAUCCGUAGCUGGUCUGAGAGGAUGAUAAGCCACACUGGAAGUGAGACACGGUCCAGACUCCUAAGGGAGGCAGCAGUGGGGAAUAUUGGACAAUGGGCGCAAGCAUGAUCCAGCCAGACCGCGUGGGUGAAGAAGGCCUUCGGGUUGUAAAGCCCUUUUGUUGGGAAAGAAAAGCAGCAGGUUAAUACCACGCUGUUCUGACGGUACCCAAAGAAUAAGCACCGGCUAACUUCGUG
rnacentral:rRNA from 1 species